rnacentral:rRNA from 1 species
CCUACGGGAGGCAGCAGUAGGGAAUCUUCCACAAUGGGCGAAAGCCUGAUGGAGCAACGCCGCGUGGGUGAAGAAGGUCUUCGGAUCGUAAAACCCUGUUGUUAGAGAAGAAAGUGCGUGAGAGUAACUGUUCACGUUUCGACGGUAUCUAACCAGCAAGCCACGGCUAACUACGUGCCAGCAGCCGCGGUAAUACGUAGGUGGCAAGCGUUAUCCGGAUUUAUUGGGCGUAAAGGGAACGCAGGCGGUCUUUUAAGUCUGAUGUGAAAGCCUUCGGCUUAACCGGAGUAGUGCAUUGGAAACUGGGAGACUGGAGUGCAGAAGAGGAGAGUGGAACUCCAUGUGUAGCGGUGAAAUGCGUAGAUAUAUGGAAGAACACCAGUGGCGAAAGCGGCUCUCUGGUCUGUAACUGACGCUGAGGUUCGAAAGCGUGGGUAGCAAACAGGAUUAGAUACCCGUGUAGUC